GUCUAAGGCCAAACUAUCCUGAAUGCACCCGAUCUUGUCUGGUCUCAGAAGCUAAGCAGGGUCGAGCCUGGUUAGUACUUGGAUGGGAAAACGAUCUUCAGAAGAGACUGCUCAGAGACAAGCAGUUUGGAGA
rnacentral:rRNA from 1 species